AGCGAACGCCGGCGGCAGGUCUAACACAUGCAAGUCGAACGAACCCUUCGGGGUUAGUGGCGGACGGGUGAGUAACACGUGGGAACGUGCCUUUAGGUUCGGAAUAACUCAGGGAAACUUGUGCUAAUACCGAAUGUGCCCUUCGGGGGAAAGAUUUAUCGCCUUUAGAGCGGCCCGCGUCUGAUUAGCUAGUUGGUGAGGUAAUGGCUCACCAAGGCUACGAUCAGUAGCUGGUCUGAGAGGAUGACCAGCCACAUUGGGACUGAGAACACGGCCCAAACUCCUACGGGAGGCAGCAGUGGGGAAUCUUGCGCAAUGGGCGAAAGCCUGACGCAGCCAUGCCGCGUGGAUGAUGAAGGUCUUAGGAUUGUAAAAUCCUUUCACCGGUGAAGAUAAUGACUGUAGCCGGAGAAGAAGCCCCGGCUAACUUCGUGCCAGCAGCCGCCGUAAUAC
rnacentral:rRNA from 1 species